rnacentral:rRNA from 1 species
CCCUUAGAUGUCCUGGGCCGCACGCGCGCUACACUGAACGGAUCAGCGCGUUUUCCCUUCCCGAGAGGGACGGGUAACCUGCUGAACCCCGUUCGUGGUAGGGAUCGGGGCUUGCAAUUAUCCCCCGUGAACCAGGAAUGCCCAGUAAGUGCAAGUCAUAAGCUUGCGUUGAUUACGUCCCUGCCCUUUGUACACACCGCCCGUCGCUACUACCGAUUGAACGUUUUAGUGAGGUACUCGGACUGAGCCUCAGAAGAUUCACGUCUUUUGUGCUGCUCGGGAAGAUUCCCAAACUUGAGCGUUUAGAGGAAGUAAAAGUCGUAACA